rnacentral:rRNA from 1 species
AUUGAACGCUGGCGGCAGGCCUAACACAUGCAAGUCGAGCGGUAGAGAGAAGCUUGCUUCUCUUGAGAGCGGCGGACGGGUGAGUAAUGCCUAGGAAUCUGCCUGGUAGUGGGGGAUAACGUUCGGAAACGGACGCUAAUACCGCAUACGUCCUACGGGAGAAAGCAGGGGACCUUCGGGCCUUGCGCUAUCAGAUGAGCCUAGGUCGGAUUAGCUAGUUGGUGAGGUAAUGGCUCACCAAGGCGACGAUCCGUAACUGGUCUGAGAGGAUGAUCAGUCACACUGGAACUGAGACACGGUCCAGACUCCUACGGGAGGCAGCAGUGGGGAAUAUUGGACAAUGGGCGAAAGCCUGAUCCAGCCAUGCCGCGUGUGUGAAGAAGGUCUUCGGAUUGUAAAGCACUUUAAGUUGGGAGGAAGGGCAGUUACCUAAUACGUGAUUGU